UGCAAGUCGAGCGGAACAGAGUUAUCUGAACCUUCGGGGAACGAUAACGGCGUCGAGCGGCGGACGGGUGAGUAAUGCCUAGGAAAUUGCCUUGAUGUGGGGGAUAACCAUUGGAAACGAUGGCUAAUACCGCAUGAUGCCUACGGGCCAAAGAGGGGGACCUUCGGGCCUCUCGCGUCAAGAUAUGCCUAGGUGGGAUUAGCUAGUUGGUGAGGUAAUGGCUCACCAAGGCGACGAUCCCUAGCUGGUCUGAGAGGAUGAUCAGCCACACUGGAACUGAGACACGGUCCAGACUCCUACGGGAGGCAGCAGUGGGGAAUAUUGCACAAUGGGCGCAAGCCUGAUGCAGCCAUGCCGCGUGUAUGAAGAAGGCCUUCGGGUUGUAAAGUACUUUCAGCAGUGAGGAAGGGGGUGUCGUUAAUAGCGGCAUCUCUUGACGUUAGCUGCAGAAGAAGCACCGGCUAACUCCGUGCCAGCAGCCGCGGUAAUACGGAGGGUGCGAGCGUUAAUCGGAAUUACUGGGCGUAAAGCGCAUGCAGGUGGUUUGUUAAGUCAGAUGUGAAAGCCCGGGGCUCAACCUCGGAACUGCAUUUGAAACUGGCAAACUAGAGUACUGUAGAGGGGGGUAGAAUUUCAGGUGUAGCGGUGAAAUGCGUAGAGAUCUGAAGGAAUACCAGUGGCGAAGGCGGCCCCCUGGACAGAUACUGACACUCAGAUGCGAAAGCGUGGGGAGCAAACAGGAUUAGAUACCCUGGUAGUCCACGCCGUAAACGAUGUCUACUUGGAGGUUGUGGCCUUGAGCCGUGGCUUUCGGAGCUAACGCGUUAAGUAGACCGCCUGGGGAGUACGGUCGCAAGAUUAAAACUCAAAUGAAUUGACGGGGGCCCGCACAAGCGGUGGAGCAUGUGGUUUAAUUCGAUGCAACGCGAAGAACCUUACCUACUCUUGACAUCCAGAGAACUUUCCAGAGAUGRAUUGGUGCCUUCGGGAACUCUGAGACAGGUGCUGCAUGGCUGUCGUCAGCUCGUGUUGUGAAAUGUUGGGUUAAGUCCCGCAACGA
rnacentral:rRNA from 1 species